rnacentral:rRNA from 1 species
CAGUAGCCGCGGUAAUACGGAGGGUGCAAGCGUUAAUCGGAAUUACUGGGCGUAAAGCGCACGCAGGCGGUUUGUUAAGUCAGAUGUGAAAUCCCCGGGCUCAACCUGGGAACUGCAUUUGAAACUGGCAAGCUAGAGUCUCGUAGAGGGGGGUAGAAUUCCAGGUGUAGCGGUGAAAUGCGUAGAGAUCUGGAGGAAUACCGGUGGCGAAGGCGGCCCCCUGGACGAAGACUGACGCUCAGGUGCGAAAGCGUGGGGAGCAAACAGGAUUAGAUACCCGCGUAGUCCCUGUCUCUUAUAC